GAUGAACGCUGGCGGCGUGCCUAAUACAUGCAAGUCGAGCGAACGGACGAGAAGCUUGCUUCUCUGAUGUUAGCGGCGGACGGGUGAGUAACACGUGGAUAACCUACCUAUAAGACUGGGAUAACUUCGGGAAACCGGAGCUAAUACCGGAUAAUAUUUUGAACCGCAUGGUUCAAAAGUGAAAGACGGUCUUGCUGUCACUUAUAGAUGGAUCCGCGCUGCAUUAGCUAGUUGGUAAGGUAACGGCUUACCAAGGCAACGAUGCAUAGCCGACCUGAGAGGGUGAUCGGCCACACUGGAACUGAGACACGGUCAAGACCCCUACGGGAGGCAGCAGUAGGGAAUCUUCCGCAAUGGGCGAAAGCCUGACGGAGCAACGCCGCGUGAGUGAUGAAGGUCUUCGGAUCGUAAAACUCUGUUAUUAGGGAAGAACAUAUGUGUAAGUAACUGUGCACAUCUUGACGGUACCUAAUCAGAAAGCCACGGCUAACUACGUG
rnacentral:rRNA from 1 species